GUGCCAGCCGCCGCGGUAAUACGUAGGGUGCAAGCGUUAAUCGGAAUUACUGGGCGUAAAGCGUGCGCAGGCGGUUAUGUAAGACAGAUGUGAAAUCCCCGGGCUCAACCUGGGAACUGCAUUUGUGACUGCAUAGCUAGAGUACGGUAGAGGGGGAUGGAAUUCCGCGUGUAGCAGUGAAAUGCGUAGAUAUGCGGAGGAACACCGAUGGCGAAGGCAAUCCCCUGGACCUGUACUGACGCUCAUGCACGAAAGCGUGGGGAGCAAACAGGAUUAGAAACCCGAGUAGUCC
rnacentral:rRNA from 1 species